CUUGUACUCCCUCCGUGCCAAAAAAAUUGUUUCAAACUUGUUCCUCAAAUGAAUGUAUCUAGCACUAACUUGGUGUUAGAUACAUUUAUUUGAGGGACAAAUUUUUUCGGACGGAUGGAGUAUUAU
rnacentral:pre_miRNA from 1 species